UUUAUGCCAGUACAUUUCCUCCUCCUCCAGAAGCCUUAGCAAUUCAGUUUGAAUGAAUGUUUUCUUGUCCUAAAGGUUUCUUGUUAUUAACCCUUCUUCUAUAUUUUCCAGUUUGAGCAAUUCCGAUGUGCUUAUAUCUUCUGGUUUGACUUUCAAGUUUAGCCCCAAUCUUUCAAAAAAUUUUAACUCUAUUUAUCUUAAUAUACCACUUUUCCACCGCAUUUUUGGCUAUGACCUGUCUCUCCCAUAUCUUU
rnacentral:lncRNA from 1 species